rnacentral:misc_RNA from 1 species
GGAAGUAAAAGUCGUAACAAUGUUUCCGUAGGUGAACCUGCGGAAGGAUCAUUAUUGAAUCUUCAUCCGGGGCGCCUCGGCCCUCAGCACCGGUGGUCACUCCGUGUUUCGGGGGCCGCGCCUGCACCCGUCGCAACCAAACCCCUCUGAACCUAACGGGAAGGCGUGGGUCAGCGCCUGGGGCCGUUCCGCAUAACAUUCACGCACAUCAAACUAUGUACUGAAGGCGGUCUGACAGCUGGAAAACAAAACUGACACAACUUUCAACAAUGGACCCCUUGGUCCAC